rnacentral:rRNA from 1 species
CUUGAACGCUGGCGGCAGGCCUAACACAUGCAAGUCGAGCGAGCGGCGGACGGGUGAGUACUGUCUGGGGACUGCCCGAUCGAGGGGUAUAACUACUGGCAACUGUGGCUAAUCCCGCCUACUCUCGGCUAACCCAUAUGGGAUUAGCUAGUAGGUGGGGUACAGGCUCACCUAGGCGACGAUCGCUAGCUGGUCUGAGCGGAUGAUCAGGAACAAUGGGAAGGAGACACGGCCCAGAAUACAAGGGAGGAAGAAGGGGGGAAGAGUGCACAAUGGGCGCAAGCCUGAGGCAGACAUGCCGCGUGUAUGAAGAAGGACUUAGGGUUGUAAAGUACGUUCAGCGGGGAGGCGUUACCCGCAGAAGAAGCACCGGCUAACUCCGUGCCAGCAGCCGCGGUAAUUC